UCUUGACCUCGGAUCAGGUAGGGAUACCCGCUGAACUUAAGCAUAUCAAUA
rnacentral:rRNA from 4 species